UGCGAAUGGCUCAUUAAAUCAGUUAUCGUUCAUUUGAUAGUACCUUACUACUUGGAUAACCGUGGUAAUUCUAGAGCUAAUACAUGCUAAAAACCCCGACUUCGGGAGGGGUGUAUUUAUUAGAUAAAAAACCAAUGCCCUUCGGGGCUCUUUGGUGAUUCAUGAUAACUUAACGGAUCGCAUGGCCUUGCGCCGGCGACGGUUCAUUCAAAUUUCUGCCCUAUCAACUUUCGAUGGUAAGGUAUUGGCUUACCAUGGUUUCAACGGGUAACGGGGGAUUAGGGUUCGACUCCGGAGAGGGAGCCUGAGAAACGGCUACCACAUCCAAGGAAGGCAGCAGGCGCGCAAAUUACCCAAUCCCGACACGGGGAGGUAGUGACAAUAAAUACUGAUACAGGGCUCUUUUGGGUCUUGUAAUUGGAAUGAGUACAAUUUAAAUCCCUUAACGAGGAACAAUUGGAGGGCAAGUCUGGUGCCAGCAGCCGCGGUAAUUCCAGCUCCAAUAGCGUAUAUUAAAGUUGUUGCAGUUAAAAAGCUCGUAGUUGAACCUUGGGCCUGGCUGGCCGGUCCGCCUCACCGCGUGCACUGGUUCGGCCGGGCCUUUCCUUCUGGAGAGCCCCAUGCCCUUCACUGGGUGUGCGGGGGAACCAGGACUUUUACUUUGAAAAAAUUAGAGUGUUCAAAGCAGGCCUUUGCUCGAAUACAUUAGCAUGGAAUAAUAGAAUAGGACGUGCGGUCCUAUUUUGUUGGUUUCUAGGACCGCCGUAAUGAUUAAUAGGGAUAGUCGGGGGCAUCCGUAUUCAAUUGUCAGAGGUGAAAUUCUUGGAUUUAUUGAAGACGAACUACUGCGAAAGCAUUUGCCAAGGAUGUUUUCAUUAAUCAGUGAACGAAAGUUAGGGGAUCGAAGACGAUCAGAUACCGUCGUAGUCUUAACCGUAAACUAUGCCGACUAGGGAUCGGGCGAUGUUAUUAUUUUGACUCGCUCGGCACCUUACGAGAAAUCAAAGUUUUUGGGUCUGGGGGAG
rnacentral:rRNA from 1 species